rnacentral:lncRNA from 1 species
GGAGCGGAGACUCCUAUGCCCAGAAGAGAUCGUACCUUGGCUGAAAAAUCCAAACCCGGGCGAAGGUCCACAUUGGAGAGAACCAUGGCUGAAAAAGACUGGAGAAGGAGAGAGGGGAGGGGAGGUGGUGUUGGACGCCGGGGCCGGAGUGGACACCGGUGGGGGGAGGGGUGCAAGGUGCGUGAGGAAGAAGAGACGGUGGACGCUGGGGCCGGGAUGGCCAUCGGCGGCGAGAGGGAGGGGUGCUCAGGCGCUCAAGCGCACAGGCGCGCGCUCUGGCCCAUCAUAUUGUGAUUACAUGCUCUCCAGUUUCAGAACUUGCUGCACUGGCUCGGCCUCCAUGCUUACGUCAUCAUCAUUGCUGGUGCCAGGAUCAUAUCGGCCUGAUCGGCCGAUUCCCUCGAACUUUGAGAGGAUUAUUUUCACCUUGUCAGUUGAAUGGUCAAACUGACUGUCAGGCCCACGUAUACCACACACGCCGAUCUACAACCUGUACUUGAGCGAAGCAGAACACUCAGGUUUCGUGUGUUAGUACGUGAAGGUCACUGCACGAUUUUUGCGUCAACACACUUUUGGCACGCCUGGUGGGACAGAAAUAUCAAAGGGAAAUUAGUCAAGUACAAGUGUUAUCGAUCAUCGGAUUAUUGGUGGCCGCCUGCUUGUGUUUCUAUCAGUAAUAGUGCUCUAGCUGAUGAGAGUAGUGCCAGAGGAUUUUGAGCCGAUGAUUGAGAAUUCAUUGGAAUAUAAUAAGAAGGGAAUGUGUCAGCAAGUCUUGUGUUCAGCAGCCGAUGGAACGAUAGAGAAGACCUUUGAGUUUUACUGGUAGCCAAUGAAUGUUCUGUGGCAUGUUGCACAGCCGAUGAAGCUAAAUUCCAGCUACUGAUAUGACAGAAAGCUCUUCCGGCCGAUGAGUAGUUUCGGAAAGUAGGGAAAAUGAAUUCUUCCACACAGAGACAUCAAGGUAUUGUCAGUGUUAUUAUAUCAGCUAUUAAUUUCGAAGCAUGAAACAUUCAUACUCCGAAAUUAGGGGGGCCUACACGUUGACAACAAAACUUGUUGGUUACUGCACCAAGUUUUGGUGUCCAUAGACUGAUCUGUUGUUUCCACUGCCAGCGAAUUCAUCAGCUCAUAGUGGGAUCAAGGUAUCAAGACGAUGGGAUUCUUUAUAUUUCAAGAGAAGUCGAUGCGGCUUUGAAUAUUGCAAUCAGACAUCAUUGGCUCCAAAGACAGGCAUCGGACCUCUAUAAUUAGUUUCGAAACAUGAAGCCUUCAUACUCAGAAACUGGGGGGGCCUGUGUUAACACCAAAAUUUGGAAAUAUGCUCUGGAAAGAAGGAAUCGGCCGAUGAUGCGGAAAAAUGACAAAAUCUCCUAAAUAAGGCUAUUUGCGAGAUGGCCGCAAAAAUCAGGAACAUGUGCAUGAAGAAAGAGAAAGCAAUAAAGCAAGAGGAAUAAAAGAAGGAAAUCAACGCACACAUGUACACGACAAGAGUGCCAACAGUUUGGCAUCCAAAGGAUUGUCUUAUAGAAUAAAAUAUUCUGGAAAUAGAGUUGGUUAGGGAUAAGCUUGAUUAGAGAUAGAGUUGGAUUAGUUAGAAAUAGAGUUUUGAUUAGAAAAGAUUGUGUACAUGACUUGCCUUGCACGUGGUUAGAUGCCAACUAUGUAACAUCAAAGGCCAUCCGCCCUAUAAAUAUAAAGGGUCGUGGCCAUUGUAAGACAUCACACGAUCAAUACAACAUAUUUACCUUUACGCAUCUACCUUUCGGCAUCACGCCAUUGCCCUAGGAGUAGGAGUAAUAUAGCUUCUCGACGAGUUCCUUCUAGCAAGCUGGGCUGCAUCAACCUCGAUCUCCAGCAAGCUGCAAGUUCUCAUCAUCAGGUGUACUAGACUUCAACUUCCGGCGUAUCGCUAUCGUUGGGUCUGGUUUCAUCUACCAGUUAUCGAGUAUCUUGGAUCCUUGACUUACGGCGCACCACUUCUGUCUCGAUCUACGAUAUUCACCAGUUAUCCUACCUUGAUUAAGUUUGCAUCGGCUGAUAUUUAUCUAUUCUAUCAUCUUACCGUCUAGUUUGUUUUAAUUAGCUCUAGAUCAUAUCAUCGUAGACGAUAGAUCACUUAAUAAACUAUUGCAUCUUAAUCUUAUUUAUCCCUCGAGUGCUGUUGGAAUUGAGUUCCAUUGUUAUUGGAUUCAUCGGUUGGCGGGGUUUAAAUUGACAUCCUGCCAAGUGUUUCUAGGCUGCAACUACCGGGCGCAUCGCUGUGGUUUCACCUAGAGAUAUUGGUAAUGAUGUUAGUUUGAAUCUCGAUUGCUUGUGACUCUGGCUAUGGUGGAGCGAGACCUCGAUGGAGCUCUAUUUCAUAUUGGCUUUCUAGCCGAUGGUUUUUGCUAUAUUAUGGUGAAUCAGCUUGGAUAGCCGAUGAGAUACCCACGCUCAUCAAGAUACUGGAAUCAGCUUCAUAGCCGAUACAUUUAUUCACCAUGCUUUAUUUUUCUACGUCGUCGUCAUCGCUGGUGCCAGGAUCAUAUCGGCGUGAUCGGCCGAUUCCCUCGAACUUCGAGAGGAUUAUUUUCACCUUGUCAGUUGAAUGGUCAAACUGACUGGCACGCCCGCGUAUACCACGCGCGCUGAUCUACAACCUGUACUUGAGCAAAGCAGAACUCUCAGGUUUCGUGUGGUAGUACGUGAAGGUCACAACACAAUUUUUGCGUCAACACACUUUCUGAAACCCAUACAUCCGAAACCCAUACUGAGGCUAUUCCUUUGUAUUUCUCCAGUAAUUUAACUAUGUCUUUGCACCAUAAUGAGUCUUUUUGUUUAUGUCCAAGCAAUUUCCCAUUAUAAUAAUAGUUGUCUUAGACUAAAUGUACCCAUGGGAUAUCUACCUUUGUGAAGACCUUAUGGAGGAACUUGAGCAGGAGAGCCUCAUUUUGGCUAUUUAGAUUAAUGACUCCAAGUCUUCAUUGCUGUUUGGGCAGGCAUACCAUAUGCCAGGCCGUCUUUGAUGGCUUUUUAGAUCACAAGUCAGAUCCUCACCAAAGGCAAUGCUUCCUGUAUUUGUCCAGUUGAGAGAUGACCCCUUGUGAAGCUCUAGUUCUAGUUUGCCCCCGUGGAAUAGCAUGUUGGAGAUACCCCCUAACCUUCUCUCCACUUUCUUGAUUAGGGGUAGAAAUUCCUCAAUAUUAGGCUUUGUUGUUCCUAGUGUGAGUCCCAGGUAAGUGAAAGGAAGGCUUCCAACCUGACAGUCAAAACUGAUGAGAGUUGUUGUAGUUUUUCCUCGGGAGUAUUCAGGGGGGACCAUAACAUAUUUGUUGUAAUUGACCUUAAGUCCUGUUGAGUUUGCAAAAAGGUUUAGCAAAUGCUUUAGAUACAGCAGCUGAACUGGGUUGGCUUCCAUGACCAGUAAGGUAUCAUCUGCGUAUUGGAUAACUAGGAAAUCUAGACCAGCUCUUUCAGGUAUUGGCAAUUGUAAGCUUCCUUCCUCUUUGGCCUUAUUCAAAAUAGAUUGAAGGAGGUCCGCUGCUAGCACAAAGAGGAGUGGAGACAGCGGAUCCCCUUGCCUGACCCCUCGUCUAUAGUGGAAGACUUUCCCUGGUACUCCAUUGAGUAGAAUUGAGGAUGUUCCAGAACCGAGGAUGUCCUUAAUCCAUACUAUCCAUCUAUUCCCAAAGCCCUUGCAUUUUAGGAUGUCCAAGAUGGCUUGGUGUUCUAUUCUGUCAAAUGCCUUCUCGAAGUCAAGCUUGAGAAUGAUGAGCUCCUUCUUGGAAGUCUUACAAAUGUGUAGAUAUUCAAAUGCUCAGGCUAAACAAUCUUGAAUAGAUCUGGAUUUUAUGAAACCAUAUUGGUUCUGAUGCACUAGUCUUAGGAUGAUUAUCUGAAGCUGUUCUGCUAGGAUCUUGGUUAUUAGCUUGAUGGUUGAGUUAAGGAGGGAGAUAGGUAUGGUCUGAAAUCUCCAACUUCCAUGGGGCGAUCUUUUGGGGGGAUGAGUGUGAUGUAGGAGGCAUUGAUACUUUGCACACAUACUCUUUUUUCAUAGAACCCCUCACAUAACUCAUAGAAGUCUUCUGCAAUUACCUGCUAGCAUGUCUUAACGAAUUCCCCAUUGAAGCCAUAUGGGACUGGUGACUUGUUGCUUGGAAGAUCCUUGAUAAUUUGGUCAAUUUCUUCUUUUGAGAAGGGAGCUUCCAGCCAUUCUAAAUCCAGAACUGGUGUCAAAAGAGAGGGGAGUUCAAAGUACAUGUGGGUAAUUAAGAUCUCCUCAUCCUUUCUUCGUAAGCUUCCCAAAGGAGCGAGUUUUAGCUUCAUGAUCGGAGAAAGACUGCCCAUUGGCAUAUGUUAGUGAGGAGAUGUAAUUGAUCCUAUUUCAGACAGAGGCCCGAGCAUGAAAAAAUCUUGUACUUUCAUCCCCUAUUUUUUGCCCAGUUAAUAGAGCUUGUCUGCUGCCAAUAGACCUUCUGUUGAUGAAGAAGGCUAUUAAGAUGUGAUGAUAUGAUUUCCCAAAAGUUCCACUCCUGCAGGGUGAGGUAUCUAGUUUCUUCGAUGAUAUCUAAGAACUGCAGGACAUCUUUUGUGUUCUGAAUUAUUUUGGCCAAACUGGGAAGUUGAGACUUCCAAGUCCCGAAAACCUUUCUCAUGUUUUUGAAUUUGGCUCCUAUGUUCUUUGCCUUGUCGGAGCUGGGAAAAGGUGACACCCAUCCUUGUUGGAGAUUGAAAGGGAAUUGAUCAUGCUCUAGCCAGUAGUUCUCAAAACGGUAGACAUGUGGUGUUGGUAGGCUAUUAGAGAUUGACACAAGGCAAGGGAUAUGAUCCGUUGAGUCCCUGGAUAACGAGGAGGUAAAGGUGUUGGGAUAAGUUAUAAUCCAAGAGAUAGAGAUAAAAAAAACCAGUCUAGUCUCUCCAGCAAGGGGUUGAUUUGUUUGAUGGACCAAGUGUACUUGCAACCUUUAAGUUGUAUCUCUGUUAACCUAAUCCUACUAAUUGCUUCGUUGAAGAGAAGCAUUUCCUGAACAUUUCCUCCCAGGUUGUUUCUAUCCUCUGGUUUCCUGAGAAGAUUGAAGUCCCUAACUAUUAGCCAUUUUUCAUCCUCAGGCAUUUCUAUCCAUUUGAACCAAUCUAUAAAAGACAUCUUCCCCUCUGGGGUGCAAGGAGCGUAAAUAUUAGUGAGGAUCCACCUGUCUCCCAAUAGCUUGCAUUGUAGUUCAAUGGAAUGAGCAAAGUUGUUUUGGAAGAUAGGCUCACCCUUGAGCUUGGAGCCAUUCCAUGAUAUUAGAGUGCCCCCUGAGUUACCAGUGGAUGGGAGGAAGUCAAACAGAUCUAGUUGGGGGUGGCAGAAAUUCCGGACAUAUCUUGCGUCAAAAGAUUCUCGUUUAGUCUCCUUUAGACAAACAAUAUUGCAGUUGGACUUAGAAAUUUUACUUUUGAUUGUGUUGCAUCUUGUCUGGGAGUUGAUGCCCCUAACAUUCCAGGAUAACAUGUUCCAGGAUCAUUUCUGGUUCAUUUGGAAAGGGUGUGUGCUUGGUAAUACCUCACUACCGGCUCAACAAAUAGUGUGAAAAUAAGUGUGGAAAGGAGAAUCCUUGAAUUGAAAAGCCAAAAAUGAGGGGAUUAACCCCUCAGAUUCUUUGAAGCAAGACAACCAAAAUAAGGUAAAUCCCACAUUAACCUAACAGCAAAAUAACUGUUCCUAGGAAGUUUAAACACCAACAUAAUAUCAUUUGCAACAUAAAGAUAAAUGAAAGAUAGUUGUCUUCACUAAAAUAGACCAGAUGCAAGAUCCAACCAUGUCCCAGAUUAUAGUACUUCUUGACUAUAUCCCUGGCGUUGUCUGUUUUGGCCUGAUAUUUCUACACUUUCCCCUUGUGUGGAAUAUCCGUCGAGGCCUUUCCCUUUCCAUCUCCAAUGGUCUUCUGAGAGGCGGGCUUAGAGAUUAACAGAUCAUCAGUGGUUCAGGCAGAGUCGAUGCCACACACCUGCCCACCUAGGUCUUGAAUGCUUGAAGAAGAGAGUGAUGGUGGCGUUGCGUUGCAAGCGAGGCAGUUUCUAUCCUGGCAAGUUUUUUUGUGAAAUCCUCCACUUCUGUCUUUGAGCCUAUUGCUUCUCCCGACGCUGGACUCAACUACCGGCACAGCCCUUGCUCCCAAUCUGGCCCUAGAUUUCUUUAGGGCCUUUUCUUCUUCUUGCCCAGGGUCUGAUUCCUUCAGAGGAGAAAAAAUACCGGUCUCCUCCUGCUCAUUAAGACAAAUAACUGGGCUGCUACUGGGGCACAAAGAGCGGAUGGUGAAGGCCAUCAUGGCAGAUAAAUCAGCGUAGCUUAGUAAUGCCUCCUAGACUCUGGAGGCUAGGAACUUCUUGGCCCAAUCGAAGUGUUGGGGGAUAGCAACAUCACCAUGAAGAAAGCGUCCCAAUAUGUUGGUAUGUGAACCACCUGCUCAGGAUAUCCUACAGGAGAGAAAAACUGGGCCCAAAGCCUGUAGACAUUUGGAUUUUGACAUGGAGCUGAGGCCCUGGGGGUGGUAAUGUCCUUGAUGCUAGGUCCAUCUGUCAGAGGAACUGAUUGUCUUAGUCUACCCAAGAGAAGGUCCAGGUCAUGUGUGUUUGGUUGAACUAGGGUGAGGACUAUGUUGACAUUAAGAUAAACCUGAAAAGGGGCCUCCUUGGCUUGAUUUGGCAAAAUGCCCUGCUGUCCUGGGGGAUGGUAGGCAACCCCAGCACCACAUCCUGAUCCAUCUCCAUAUCAUUGAGCUGAGCCCCAGCCUGUUCUACAUGGAAGUCCAUAUUUUGCCCCAAUGGGGGACUGCAGCCACCACAUCAUCCAAUGGCUCGGUGGGUCUUACAUGAUAGCUUGUGGAACCCUUGCAUUGUAGAUCACCACUGGAAGAGGAUAGUUGUCAGGAGCUGAAGAGCUCGAGGAGUUGGUUGGAGGAGACAUGUUAAGGUGAAGAUCCAAUUCAACAGCUUGUUCCUCCUCAUUAUGCAGGGCCUUAGCUUCCUCCUAGAGAAUAUCCAAGAGUUCCUCAUUAUUGAUCUUAUCAUCUUCUAUCACAUUUUCAGUCUCGAAUAUCAAGCACAGAAUUGGCAUUAAUAUUAGGGAUGCCAGGAUUGUCAAGAUUUAUCUACCCUUCUUAGUUGUCCAAGGCCAUUGGCUGUGGGUGAGGAAAAGCUUGCACAUUCUGUUGACCUUGUGGCUGGAUGGCAGGGAAUAAGAAAUUAUCAUUCAGACCCCCUGGGCGAUGUCUUCAUCUUGAAGCUGGCCUCCCAAGAUGUUUUGCUACAAAAUUUCACACUGAACCAUCCACGAGACUCCUUCAUAAUCAUCCCCUUCAAAUACGAUGAGAUAGUGGGGAGUGUCAAUCAAGUCAGUGACGCUAGCUUUGAUGAUUACCCUAGAUAAUACAUUAUCCUUCUGCCAUAGUAUCAUUCUCCCAAAAGACAUGAUGGAGUCCUCAAUUUCUGCUGCAGAACAACUGUCAGUUGGGAAUCCAAUUACCAUGAGCUAGCAUUCCUUGUUGAACCCCACACACCUCGCAUUGGCACCUCUAUUGUGUUGCACAAAAGAAAAACUAAGGCCUUGAUGGAAAUGCGGGCUGUGAUAUAUCAGAGCAUCCCUAUCCAAGGGGCGGGCCAUUCGCACAUAAGGUUGCCCCCUACCAAAUGGACAUCUCUGCACUUCCUUUACUUCCAAGCCAUAAUCCCCAACAAUAAGGUCCAUAAUAGAAUGCCAGAGAGUGCCAAAGAGGACCUCACCAGGGGAGAGGUUGGCAACUAUGACGAUUGCUAGGUCUUCGCUUCUUGGGGUUGUCUGAGGAAUGACCACUUGACCUGCUGCCUUUCUUGCACUAUGACACGGUUGAAGCCUGGGAGCAUCAUCGGCUCUGGGUCAAUAUUGAGGAAAGCCGUCAUGUGCUCUUCUAUGGAGUUCUCUUGGUGACAAUGGAGAAAGCCCUCAAAAGUUGGGAGGGAACUUUUGUGAGGUAGGGGAUGAUAGUGGAUCCGAAGGGGCAGGAGGGAGUGAUGGCUGCAUUUCCUCUCAGAAACUGCGACAAGUUAUGAAGGCAGGUGAAGAUCGGUGGGCCGCUUGGGCUAGGCCCAGCAACCGGGGGUGGGCUUGCCUUGAACCAAGUGCUGGAGCAAUCCAGAGGCCAACCAGUAGUGGUGAUGCCUGGGGAGAAGUUACAGCCAAAAGUUGUACCGCAGUGGUUAAUAAACCUUUGGAGACCAUGGUAAAGUAUGCAAUCAUUAACAAUAUGUCCCCCUUGUUUGCAGUGCCAGCAUAUUAUAAGAUUUGUACAAGAGGAUCUUAGGUGGUUGGGGCCUAGACACUAGGAACAGGAGAAACCCGGGUCAACUUGCAAAGCAAGCUGCUGAGGCACAAAACUUUUCAGCCCAUGAACCGAGGGGAGCCUUCUGCCCAAUUGAUCUUGUUGGUUUGAAGAUUUGAAAUCCAGCCGUUGAAAGACCGACUUUCUGUUGUGACCCCAACUUCGGGAAGAAAUCCUUUGAAAUCUAGUCCUCAAAGAAGAAUGAUGAUCCAUGGGCAAAAAAGUCCUUUUUGGACCAAUGGGAACCAUAUUUGCACCUGUGAGAGGAUAAUGAUCCCCACCAUCUAGGGUGGGAUUUCCAGACUUAACCACAUCAGCAAAAGAGGGAGAAUUCCUCAGCCUCAGAGAAGAAAAUUGGCUUAAUGAAUGCCCAGCAGAUUGCAAUGAAUGACCUAAAUGAAAUCCAGAGGUCUCAGGGAGACUUUCACGUCCAUUAAUAGGGGCCAAGCAAAAACCAGAAGAUCCAGGGUUUGAAUACUGCACAAAUUUACCCUUCCUAGGAUGAACAAAUUCCCACUGGAAAGAAGGUCUAGAGUCUUUUUUGGAGAAGGACAGAGCUCUAGCAAAGCCUGAGUUGUUAUGCAGGAAGAAACCCAGAUUGAAAGCAUCACAAGAGAAGGUCUAGAGAUCUAGGCAGAGAAAACCCACAUGCUUCAAACACAAAGAAAACCUGAAGACUUGCUGAUUCAUCUGCGAAAUAUUGAACCUACGAGCGUCCCCUCCAAGGAUGGCCUUGUCACACCCUAAAAUUUUCGAAUUUCAGGAUGUGAUUAAAAAGGAAAAUUAAACAAUGAUUUUUUGAUCAUUUUAAAAUUUUACCAACAUUUAUUUUUCUUUACAGGAAAUUCAAUAUAGGAAAAAUAAUUGUUUGUUUUUCGGAAUUAAACAAGGUUGUUGUGUGUCUGUGCAUUCACGCCGAUACAUCUUGAUGUUUCUUGAAUGAAAAAGUUUUAAAAAUGUGUUUAGAUGCUGUCCAAGUUUUUCUGAGAAUUUUCCAGUUUUCCUGUAAUUUAUUCUCCUUUUCCCUGAGCUAAAUCCAAUUUUUGGAUGGUUCCAAAAUCCUUUUCUUGAGCUCCAAAUAUUUUAUUUUUGUUCCUCAUGUCUCUUUCUAUCUAUGGGUUUUUCCUAGAAUUUUUGGGAGUUUCUAAAUAUUUUUCGUGCUCCAAAAACAUUAUCUAGAGUUUCUAGAUUUGUUUUUGCACUGGAAAUGUUUAUUGAAAUUCUAAAUAAAUCCUUUUCCAUCGGGCCGGCCUUUUCUCCCGCACCGGCCCAUCUCCUCUCACCGGCCCGGCCUGUUUCCUCUCCUCUCUUCCUUCUCUUUUCUAUUCUUUUUUUUCCGGCAUCGGCCUACCUCCCUUUUCUUUCCAUCGGCUCGGCCCAGCUGCCCUCACCUGGCCAGGUCGGCCCAUCAGCUCUCCCUCUCUCCCUCACACCGACAGGUGGGGCCCACCUGUCGGGCUCAUCUUCAAGCUUCGGCCGGCCGUUCCCCUGCUGCAACCACGCCGCGCCACCUGGCAUCCUGCGCCCGCUCGCCCUCCCGGCGACCCUCCAUCCCUCGCGCGCCCCUCGUUUCCUCUCCCGAAACGGCCUCUCCACCACCGGGUCCCAUUCAUAACCGCCGCCCUUCCGUUUCCCCUCCGCUUCCUCUCCAGUAACAGACCCCCCACCAAGCCGCCAUGAAUGACCGACGCCCCUUUACUCCUCCACCAACGCCGCCUCAACUCCCUCCUCCGCCCCUAUAAAUUGAACGCCCAGACUCCGGUUUUCCCUGUUGCUUGUCUCGCCGGACUCCUCGUUCGCCCGCACCAAACUACCGCCACCGCCGCCGCCAUUCUUGCUCGCUGCCGGCAUGUUUUCGGGCGAUGCCGUGCCCCUUCGCCGCCGGUUAGCAGGUGCAACAUCACCUCGACGUCCUCCUCCUUUUGGCGCCGCUCGCCCGUGCCUCCGCCGUGCCGGAGCGCCAUCAGCCACCGGCCAGGACCGCCCCUGUGCGCCGGCUGGGAAGAAAUCAUGAGCUUGAAGAAGAGAUAAGGUGGCCGAUGAAACCCCUGAAGAAUCCUGUAAAUCUCUAGCUUCCUCUUUGUGUCUUGCCACAUUCAUGCAAAACCCCUUAAACUUUUCAGUUUCAUUCAAUCUGAUCCAAGCCUUGUCUUUUUGCAGAUCUACCCUUGAACUUUCAGCUUCUCACAAGCCUGUACCCUGUUCCUUGGUAAUCUUCCUUGCUAACCCUUGUAAUCUACGGGUAAUCGCGUUUUAGUCCUUGGAACCCUGUAGUUUUGACGUUUUAGCUCCGCUUUAAUCCGUUCAAGUUGCGUAAGGUUCAUAAUAGCAUAAAGUACACGUUAGUAUUGUUGUUAUCCUACAUUUCAUAUCUUUUAAAAUAAAUUUAGUAUUAAUUUGAUUAAUGCCUAAUAAACGUACGUCUUUCCUAAAUAAAAGUCACCAAGAGUUAUAUACUAUUUUUUAUAAUGAAAAUUAAUUUGAUUAAUGACUACUUUAUAACCUUUCUAAAUAAAAGCCAAUUAGGAUAUACAACAAUUUUUCAUAAAUAAUGUUAACCUAAUUAAGGCUUAUCUACAUGUUUCUUCCAAUUAAAAGCUAUUUAGAGGAAAACCUCACUUUUUAUAAAUCAAAUUUAAUUUGAUUAAUAUUUAUUCAAUUUGCUUUCUAAAUAAAAGCUACAUAGGUUAUCACUCGAAUUUUCAUAAUGAAAAGUUAAUUUGGCUAAUAUAAAUAUAAAUGUGUUUUAAUAUAAUAUGCUUAGUUGAACUCGAAAUAUAAAGUUAUACGCUUAGAUGCUUUUACACGCUUCUUAUAAAAUUAAAUGUUUAACUUUCUUAAAUUGUACUUAAAUAUUUAUAAAUAAAAUUUGACUAGGCUCUAUAUCGUCUUUCUCAUAUAAAUAAAUAUAAAUUGAUUAAUUCCAAAUAGGAUAUUUCUCUAAAAUAACCUAUGUGCGUGUUUUAUUUAAUUAAAAUGGACCAAGCAUAUAGUCUUUUUAUUUCUUUGAUAAAUCAAAUCCCUCGAUAGUUCGUUUUAAGCGUUUCUUGCGUUUGCAUGACCCUUAGAUCGAGCCUUAUCCUUUAGUACGCUGUUUUAAAGCCUUUCUUUUGUUUUGGUGUAUUGUUCUUAGUUGCUCUUGUUGUUUGUUGUCGAUGUUUGCUUCGAUAGAAGGAUCGUCGUUCGAAGCUUUGAAGAUAAAGAGUUUCAAGAAAGCAAGAACCGAAGAGCAAUAAGAGUAACUUAUCGUUGGAGAAAGGCAAGUGUCCCAAACCAUCCUUUUACCUAUGCUUUGUUCACAGUGUUAUGAUAAUCUUAAUUGGAACAUGGAGAACCACCCAAGAAAACAGUACAACCACAACAUCACAUGGCUUUGAUCUUAGCCGACUAAUUAGGCAUGUGGUUGACUAGUGGCCUUACUGAAAGGGCAAGGAGGGGGAAGGUGUCGGGGGUAUGACCCGGAGCAGUAGCCUUCUAAGGUGCUGACUCAUUACAACGGGUUGUGACCCACAUCGCUACUGAAACUCUAGCGGGCUACUAGUUAGCUAUGUGUCUUUGUAAAAGCUUUGUAGUGGACCCCCAGCCACUCACCAAAGGAAGUGUUUAAGGGCUUUGCAAACCCGGGCAAUACGGGGAACACGAGUUGUGGGUAAAGUGUACAACCUCUGCAGAGUGUAAACUGAUAUAUCAGCCAUGCUCACGGUUAUGAGCGGCUUGGACCCUCACAUGAUUAAUUAAACUUGAAGAUGGACUUAAAUCAUUAAUUCUAGUUAUUUCUUAUGGUCUUGCUGAGUACCAACCAUAAGUGUACUCACCCUUGCUUACUGCUGCUCAGAAGAAGAAGGUGUCGAAGUUCUGAAGAUGGUGUUGAGUUCUAGGCAUACGCAACCUCCAGUCGAGUGCCUGUGAAGUUUGGAGCCUUCGUUUCCAGAGUUUAAGCUGUGUUUCUCUGAUAGUCUUGUAAGUUUUUUUGUAUCUUUUUGUGUGAUACUGUUACUGUUAUUCACUAAUGAUAUCACUAUAUGUAUGAAACUUGAUCCUGACAUAAAUAUAGGUAGCACUUGGUUUUGUUUUAAAACCAGGUGUGACAGAAGUGGUAUCAGAGCUGUAUCGACUGUAGGACGUAAGCCUAGAUAGCACUGGUCGCUUUCUAAGGUCCGUUUUACCAUAAAAACUCUUCCUACCUUAUUCUUGACAUUUGUGAUGACUAUUUUCACUCCUUGAACUAAUUAUCUACACCUUGAUUGCUUAAUUCUGAUAAAUAUUGACUCUUAGUCUAUUACCCCCACCUUAUUUUGCUAAACCCUCAAUCCUUAUCUAUUGAUUUACUCCCUCUUUAAAAAAACCUUUUUUUUGGCUACUCGCACCUUGAUCAAUUACCUUUCUUGUUUUCGUUAAAUUCUCAACCCUUGUCUAUUUAUUCUUUCUCCUUGAUGCUUUCUUGAUCUUGAUUAUACAUCUUCCUUGAUGAAUGACUUUCCCUAUUCCAAGCAUCUCACCCCUUUUGGUUUACUGGUGAAAAUGCUUACACCUUACUCCUUGAUAUUUUGUGUUAUUUCCUACUUAUCCUUUUGUUUACUAGUGACAGGCCUUGAGACAAAGCCCAACACAGGCAGAGGUGAGCCUGAAAUUGUUUCUGCUGAAGGAAACCACCAUGCGGAAGCUCGGGCUCAUCGAAGCCGAAGAUGGAGUCACCUGAGAGCCCAAGAGGUCCAAGACCUUGGCCACGAAAGCUACACCAUGACUGUAAUCAAGGGAUAGGGGACCCAUGGAGCCUUACCAGGAGGCCAAGCGGGGAGACAGCGAGCUCUUAAGAACUAGAGGAGGUUUAGAGGUGAAGAAGGGGAGGGUCAAGCCAACACUCUUUCCUUAGUCUAGAGCAUCUUGCACCUAGAACGUCGAGGAAGAAAGCCUUCUCCUUCCGGAAAGCUGCUUGUCGUCUUCAAUGGAAACCCCAACAUGGAGACAUCGUGAUCGUCUAAGGUAGGUAGGAGAGAGGAGAGGAAGAGGGUUAGAGGCGGUUGAUGGUGGCCAGCGGGGCCGGAGUGGCCACCACUGGGAGGCUGUGGACGCCGGGACUGGAGUGGUCACCGGCGGAGGCAGAGCCCGCGCUCAGCUCUCAACCACAAUUGUAUUAUACUGACUUUGGACAAAUUGGUUGCCUACAAAUAGGCCAUCCCAAUAUGCACUUGUUACACAUUUCUUCCUAUAGCUGUAGGCUAUGUAUAGCUACCGACCCAGCUGCCUUGAUCACCAUGGCUGCCGCGAUGCUCAAGAUGGCCAUUGCCAGCUUUCUGUUUAAAUUUUCUUUGAUUGUUCCCGUUGCCUUCAGUCGAUCUUGGCACAAACUGGCUUCGAUCUUCUUGCGAAAUUAAAAGGCACCCAACUAACAAACGAAGAUAAAGCAAGAGUUUCAAGACACAUUCAAUUCAAUUCAAUAAUAUCAUGAUAUACUCCCUCCUUUGUUAAACGUUUGACUCCAUUGACUGUUGGAAUUGAUGUUUGACCAUUCAACAUGGAAUCUACUUGAUGCUGUGGUUACCAGCUGAUCAGCAGGAAACAAAAGUGUUGUUCCAGUCCACGCGUAGGCGCUAUGUUUCAGGGAGUUGCUGUGCUGGGCCGGUUUGGGGUAUUUUUGCAUCUUCGUCCACGCACGACGUGUUGAAAGCCCAUGGCUUCGGAUGCCAAAAGCAAAAAAAAAGCAAAAAAUUGUAAACCUAUGAGGCCCAGCCAACGUGUUGAAGAUCAAUCAGUGCAGAAAACAAACCAUCAAGAUCGUUGUCUUUACUUGGCCAAUUCUUUAUAACGUGUUAAUUAAUCAUUAAACUAAGCAAGUUUGCUUAGCUCAAGACUGGGAGGUUCUACUGGGAGGUUCCAGAACGCCAACAUGUUUGUUUCAUAUUCUCGAGUCAGCUUCCCGGCUUCGGGCAGCCAGAAGCUGGAAAGCUGAAACAAACACUUCGCCAGAAGUCGGGAAGCUGAAACAAACACUUCUGUUGGACUGACCUUCAGAAAGCUAGAAAGCUAGCUUCAAAGGAAAUGAACUGAAAGCUGAAAAUCUAGCUUAGAGGAGUUUUUUCUAGCUUCUGGUGUGCUGAAAUAAAAAUUUAUUACAAAACCAUUAACAAAAUAUCAACAAUCAAAAAGUCAGCUUUCAGACAGUUAACUUUUCAGCCAAAAGUAAAAGCUCAAACAAACAUACCCUAACUCACCGCUGCUUAACCAACCUUCUGGAAGCCUGACCUCCACGUCACAUUGUUGUUGUUUUUUUGAUAGUGGCUUUGCCUUGUACGGCCGUGCUCUAAUUUACGAUCCGGACUAGUCAAAGCAAAACACACGCGCACACAAAAAGGAUAACCCCACAAGGCAGCCAGCCACCGUUGACGAGCGCCAUCGCGGGUCCUAUGGCAAGUGGGCCCGCGCGGCAAAAGCGCACUACGGGAGACAGAACUUUUGCCGAGUGCCUGGGGCACUCGGCAAAGGCAUGAAAACACUCGGCAAAGCCUUUGCCGAGUGUAACACUCGGCAAAGGGCACACGGCAAAUAUUGUGUCGGCAAAGCCUAGUUUGCCGAGUGUCAAAACUCGGACACUCGGCAAACAUGUUGCCGACGGCCGAAAAACACUCGGCGAACAGAUGGACUCGGCGAACCGCGGGCUGACGGCGUCGGGUAACGGCGAGUUUGCCGAGUGCCAAACGGGUGGCACUCGGCUCCCAGGCACUCGGCAAAGCCGGCUCUGUUUGCCGAGUGCCAGGCGCCUGGGCACUCGGCAAAGCCGCCCGCUUUGCCGAGUGCCUUGACCAUAGCACUCGGCAAAGGACCUUUCCUACACCUGGGAAAUGCCCCUUUGCCGAGUGCUAUGGUCACGACACUCGGCAAAGGACCCUCUUUGCCGAGUGUAACACUCGGCAAAGUGACCAGAACCGCCCCUUUUUCGAUAUUUUGCCACGUAUAACGGACCCCUCUCAAUUCUCAAUACACAUAUCACAGGUAUUUGUAAUAAACAACCACAUGAAUAAUUCACAACCACAGGCAUAAUUCAUAAACACCACAGGCAUAGUUCAACAUAAGCACGAAAUAAUCCAUAAAUCCAAGUUCUUCUCACAAUUUAGUUUCCACAUUGUUCACAAUCAAGUCUACUUCCGUGGAGGCCAAGGAGACCACUGCGACAAAUCUUGAUCUUCAUUAUUCGAAGCCGCCGAUUGAUUCUGCACAUAGGAUAGGACAUUCUGAGGUAACAUCUAAAGUUGUCAAAUUUAAACUAUUGAAUCUUAAACACAAUGUGUCAAGUGACUCACAGGAGUAGUCGUGGGUGGCUGAGGCGGAGGGAACAUCAUCGGCGGUGGCGGAGGCAAAGUCUGUCCCAUGCUCGUAGCAAAGUUCUGCAUGUACUGGAACAUCUGCUCCAUCCUAAUCCGGUUUUCCUCCUCCAUCCUCCGCCGCAUUUCCUCCAUCUGCGCCGCCAUCUCCUCUUGUUUCUUCCUUGAUUCUUCCACCUGGGCCUACAAUAUUUUAUUGCAAUGUUAUAAUGCAAAGCUAAAGUACAACAACAAACGAACGAUGAAUGGAAGAGAAAGAACCUGUAGAGCCUCCAUCUGGAACUGUGCAGCGGUGGGUCGUGGGCGUACCGCCGGGCUUGAGUCCGUGCUCCUAGCUCGGAUCUGGAAGAGAGUGGGAGUAGAGGCCGUGUCGAGGACGCCGUCGCCAAUCCAAUAUCGGCCAUGCUUCUUGCCUCCUCCCACCCUCAUCACGAUUUCUCCAUCAAUGUCCUCGGAGCUCGGAUCGAAGUCUGGCCCGUGAACCUCCCUAGCCAUCUUUGUAUACUCGCUGACGCGGCUGUAUAUGCUAGGGUGGCUGUACGCCUCGGACGGGUCGUCUGGGUUGAAAUCUAUAUCGGCCGUCGCCUUGCCUUUGCCGAGUGCCCUAUAUUGACACUCGGCAAACACUAACGGCCGUCACGGAAGGGCGCCGCCGUCGGCACGGGAAGGUCAGUUUGCCGAGUGUCAACGUUUGCCGAGUGCCGCCUGGGUGUUUGCCGAGUGUUUUUUGGGUAACACUCGGCAAACCGGUCGUUCGCCGAGUGUUUUAUUUUUGCCGUGUGUUUUUUAUGUUACACUCGGCAAAAGGUUGCUUCGCCGAGUGCCCGAAAAAAAGCACUCGGCGAAGUUAUUACACUCGGCGACUUUAUGCUUUCCCGUAGUGGCGCGAGCGGGUCGUUUUCGCCUUGCGCCCCUCCACCUCUCCAACUAUUGCCGAACUAUGCCCCUGCCUCCCCUCUGUUGGAUGCCCCUGCCGACUAGUUCGAGGGCUGAUCCGCGAAACGCUAACCCGCGGGGCUAAUCCCGUAAUCUCCUCUAUUGGACACGUGGCCGACUCUGAUUGGGCAACAGCGGGUCAACUGUCAACUGUUGCGUAACUUCACGGAGCAGCCCUCGCCAAAUUUCUUAUUACUUUUUUCUUUUCUCUCUCUUUUUUUUCGUUUUUGCUUCCCCGUCGCCGUCACCUGCUUGCUUCUUCCUACCAGUACCUGUAUCUCUCUCUCUCUCUCUCUCUCUCUCCUCCGGUGGUGGGGGCGGGCAGGGAGGCGACGGAGAGAGAGUGGGGGGGAGAGGGAGGAGGCGACGGCGAUGGCUGCGAAGGGCGCGAUGGCGGCGCUGCUGGUGCCGCUGCUCGUCGCGGCGCUCCUGGCAUGCGUUUCUCCCCCUGGAGCGGCGGCGGUGGCGGCGGAGCAAGGAGGUGAGAUGAAUUUUUUUCCCCCCGUUUCAACCGCCGGUCCUCCUGGUUCGUCGUGCCGUCGCUGCGCCUGCGCGUGCGCGGCCCCUCGCGUGGUUCUGGACGGUUUCUUUCCUGCUUGCUUGGGAGGGGGUUCGGAGGAAGGAAAGCUGUUGGUGCGGGCGAUUGGUUGCGGCGGAUUGGAUUAGAUGAAGCAAAGCUCGGGGAUUAGAUGAACAUUUCGUAGUAAUACCGACUGCAGAAGCAGCAGAUUUCUUCCGGAUGUGAGCAUCGCCGGGGGCCACUGUAGAUUGGGGGAAGUAAAUCAGUAAUGAUAAGCUGCUACCUUUAGAGCAAUGCUUGAUGUUCUCAGUACGUCAAAUGUUGACUGUUCGUAGGCGAUGCAGAGCUUAAGCGAAGGUUGUGUGCUACCAGCCUACAACUUGCUUAUUAUCGCCUAGAGGCGGUGGUGCAGCAUAGCGGUUGAGGUGCCGUAGUAAGGGGACUAGUUUCUUGCCUGCAGCAUUGGGGAUGCGAAACUAUGCGAUAUUCUUGAAUCGAGUAGCAGGUUAUGCUUGUGUAUGCUUCUGGAAUUGGAAGCGCCAUUGGAUAUCACAGCUUUUAGUUCCAGUCUCACAUGUGGAUUUCUUCCACUUCUGUAGAUAGCUUUCACCAGUACUAAAGUGCCGGCUGGUUCGGCUUUUCUUUGCCAAUGCAGUACUCAGGAUGAAGCCUUGUGAUGGUGGUUAUCCUUAUAAUCGUACUCUUGCUCAUAUUCUUGUCGAAUAUGCAUCUGCUGUAAGUUCCCCACUUCUUCCCUGGCAAUCUUAUUAAUCCUGUUGACAACUUUGUAAAUUUGCCCAUAAUUCCUCUUUGUUCUGCGAUCUGCAAUGGACUGAUUUUGUGGCUACAAAACAGUAGGUGACUACUGAAUAGUAUCAUGAACAUCAUUAUCAACAAUUUCAGUUUCCUGAUCAUUUGUGUGCUCCACCUACACGCUAACGUGUUGCUGCUCCUCAUCAGAACUAACUGAAGAAACAUUUGUUGACAAUUUGUCAUUAAAUGUAACAGAUUCAUUGAAAACAAUGCUCCUACUCAUAAAAAUCUUUUUAGUUUCAGGAUUCCAUAACUUAUAUCCUUUUACUCCAGAACCAUAACAAAGAAAUAGACACUAAAUGGCUCUAGGUUCUAGCUUUCCAUUAUCAACAUGAGCAUAAGCAGUGCAACCAAAAACUCUCAACUGUGAAUAAUCAGCAGGCGUACCAGACCAUACCUCAAUGGGAGUUUUCUUAUUGAGUGGGAUAAAAGGCGACCUGUUUAUCAAGUAACAAGCGGUGUUAGCAGCAUCUGCCCAAAAACGCUUGUUCAUACGAGCGUUGGACAGCAUGCAACGAGCCUUCGAGAUUAUGGUUCUAUUCAUGCGCUCAGCCACACCAUUCUAUUGAGGAGUGUAUGGGAUGGUGUGGUGCCUGACAAUGCCUUCCUUCCUGCAGUAAUCAUUAAAAGCAUCCGAACAGAAUUCACCACCAUCAGUACGAAGCAAUUUUACCUUCUUUUCAGUUUGCCUUUCUAUCAUAACUUUCCGCUCCUUAAAAGUGGCAAAAAUAUCAUCUUUAUUUUUUAAAAAGUAAGGCCACACUUUUUCUAGAAUAAUCAUCAAUGAUAAUAAGCAUGUAACAAGCACCACCAUGAGAGAGCUUACGAGAUGGUCCCCACAAAUCAGCAUGUACAUAAUUAAGUGUACCUUUGCUGGUAUGAAUGGAGGCACUGAAUUUUACCAUCUUGUGCUUACUAAAAACACGGUGCUCAUAGAACUUCAUCUUACCCAAAGUGCAGCCAUCCAGCGGGUCUCUCUUGAUCAAUUGUCAUACCAAGUUCACUCAUAUGCACAAGACACAUAUGCCACAUAUUAGUCUUACUUAGUUCAUAAUUAGAAACAAUAGCAGCAGUAAUGGAACCAUGUAAAGUACUUUCUCUAAGAAUAUAUAACCUUGCAGAAUUCAUAUCACCUAUCAUAUAAAUAAGAGAACCUUUUGAUACCUUACACACUCCACUUGAACUGGAGUGUUUGUACCCCUCGGAAUCAAGUGUGCUGAGGGAGAUGAGAUUUCUGGCCAUCCCUGGAAUGUGUCUCACAUCUUUCAGUGUGCUUAUAAUACCAUCAUGCAUCUUGAUCUAAACGGAGCCAAUGCCUACAAUCUCACGUGGGUUGUCAUCUCCCAUACGCACGACAUCUCCACUCUGCACAGACUCGUAAGAAUUGAACCAAUUUCUGUUACAGCAUAUAUGAAAUGAGCAUGUAGAAUCAAGUAUCCAUUCAUCAUGACCAGCAACACAACCAGCAAAAGCAACAAGACAGUCUCCUGAAUCGGAAUUAUCAGCACCGGAAACAACAAAAGCUUUACCAUCACCAUCGGAUUUAUUUUUCGAUUGAUACGUACCGUUUCUUUUCUCCUUAUUCUGCAGCUUCCAACAAUCAUCAAUGACAUGAGUUUUUUUCUUACAAUACCUGCAGAACAACUUGCCUCUGGAUUUCAAACGACCUCUACCGUUCUGCCUCUUGUCUCGAUUAUAGUUGUUGUUAUGGGUUUUCUGCUCGGACCUGCCUCUAACCUGCAAUGCUUCACCCUUGGAGGACGAUACAUCAGACUGAACCAUACCCUUCAUCUUCUCCCUCGUUUGGAGAGCCUCAUAAACUUCCGCAAGGGUUAGUUCAUCACGGCUUAAUAGUAUGGUGUCUUGAAAAUUUGCAAACAAACUAGGUAGUGAGCAUAAUAGUAGAAGACCUAAAUCUUCAUCAUCGUAUUGUACCUCCAUCGACACUAGGUCGGCAACGAUCUCCUUAAAGAUCGAUAAGUGGUUCAUCACCGAACCACCUUCUUGCAGGUUGUGCGUGAACAACUUCAUCUUCACGUACAUCUUACUGGUAAGAUUCUUGGACACGCAGAUCGAUUCCAGCUUGAGCCAAAGCUUUGCGGCAGUUUUCUCCUACAGUACUUCUUUGCAAAAUAUCAUUCGAUAGAUGAAGUUGAAUCAUAGACAGAGCCUUACGGUCCUUCCGCUUCUCAUCAGCGGUCCAUGACUCCUUCUUUCUUCUGAAACCAUCCAGAACCUCAUCAAGAUCCGAAGAUUGUGCCAGAAUUGCCCGCAUCUUGACUUGCCACAGCGAAAAUCUCAUCUUGUAGUUCAGCAGCGGUAGAUCAAACUUCAUCGAUGGAACCCUAAUCAGAAACAAGGCUCUGAUGCCACUUGUUACAAACGAUAGGCAAUAUAAAUGACGAAGAAUAGAAGAUCCAACACAGGAGACACGAGAUUUAACGUGUAAAACCUUUCCAAGAAGGAAGAGAAAAAACAACGGGCGCCAGCCAGCAAAUCUUCACUAUAUCGGGUGAGGUUAUAAACGCUAGAGAUUUACAACUUGGGAUACCCUAACCUAGGGUGCCUUUCCAUAUAGUAGUCUAUGGUGCAUCUUUUCCAUGAGGGAGGUGGUCCGUAUAUGUAAGGAGGAAAACCCUCCACACCCUCGUCUAUUGGCAAUACGAAACUAAUAGAUGGUGUAGUCCCCCUUAACGCUAAUGGGCCGCUUUGCUUCGGCCCAAACCUACCGGUGAAGGACCUCGCUUUGCUCUGUCUGAAGUCGGUAUUUAUCUGUAUAUUACUGAAUUUGAAUCAUAACUCAACACAAGAUGCACUUCUCUACCCAUGCAUCUUUUCCUAUAGCUACAGACCCAGCUGCCUUGAUCACCGUGCAUGGCUGCCACGAUGCUCAAGAUGGCCAUUGUCAGCUUUCUGUUUAAAUUUUCUUUGAUUGUUCCCGUGUUGCCUUCAGUCGAUCUUGGCACAAACUGGCUUCUUUUUGCGAAAAUUAAGGGGUGUUUGGAUCCACGAGCUAAAAUUUAGUCCGUGUCACAUCGAAUAUUCGGAGGCUAAUUAGGAGGACUAAAUAUGAGUUAAUUAUAAAACUAAUUACACAAAUGGAGGCUAAACGACGAGACGAAUCUAUUAAGCCUAAUUAAUCCAUCAUUAGCAAAUGAUUACUGUAGCAACGUACUGUCAAAUUUAUGGACUAAUUAGGCUUAAUAGAUUCGUCUCACCGUUUAGCCUCUAUUUGUGCAAUGGGCUUUGUAAAUAGUCUAUGUUUAAUACUCCUAAUAUCUAAACAUUCGAUGUGACAGGGUUAAAGUUUAGCCGGGGAUCCAAACGGAACCUAAAGGCACCCAACUAAUAACAAACAAAGAUAAAAGCAAGAGUUUCAAGGCACAUUCAAUUCAUUGUACUACUUUAUCAGUCUGUCUGUCCGUCUGUCAUAAUGUAUGCAAACAUGUAUGGAAUCUACUUUACCAGCUGCUGAUCAGCAGGAAACAAAAGUGAUGUUCCAGUCCAUGCGUAGGCGCUAUGUUUCAGUAGUCACCCUGCUGGGAGUCGCUGGGAAAUGCUCUGCUGGGCCGGGCUGAGCUGGGGCAUUUUUGCAUCUUCUUCGUCCACGCACGCCCGUGUUGAAAGCCCAUGGCUUCGGAAGCCCAUCGUCUGCCAGAAGCAAAAACUGUAAACCUGUAAGGCCCAGCCAACGUGUUGAAGAUCAAGAUGGUCUCUUUACGUGGCCAAUUCUUUACAACGUGUUAAUUAAUCAUUAAACUAAUCAAGUUUGCUUGGGUCAAGACUGGGAACGCCAAUCUAACUCACUGCUGCUUAACCAACCUUCUGGAAGCCUCACCUCCACGUCUACAUUGUUUUUUCAAUAGUGGGUUUGCCUUGUACGGCCGUUCUCUCUGAUGUGUUCUUAAAUAUAUUACACGGUCGACUUAGUUAACUAAAGUGCAAUGUGUAUCAUUAUGUCUAUUAUCAAAUAUCCUCGGGUGUUUGGUUCUUUAGAACCUUCUAAAAUUUUUGUCACAUUGAAUGUUUAGAUACUAAUUAAAAGUGUUAAAUAUAGACUAAUUGCAAAACCAAUUGCACAGAUGGAGGUUAAUUUGUGAGAUGAAUUUAUUAAGCCUAUUUAGUCCAUGAUUUGACAAUGUGAUGCUACAGUAAAUAUGUGCUAAGGAUGGAUUAAAUAGGCUUAGGGGGUGUUUGGCAGGGAGGGGCUAAAUUUUAGCCCCUGUCACAUCGGAUGUUUGGACACUAAUUAGGAGUAUUAAACAUAGUCUAAUUACAAAACUAAUUGCACAACCCCUAGGCUAAAUCGCGAGACGAAUCUAUUAAGCCUAAUUAGUCCAUGAUUUGACAAUGUGGUGCUACAGUAACCAUUCGCUAAUGAUGGAUUAAUUAGGCUUAAUAGAUUCGUCUCGCGAUUUAGCCUAUGGGUUCUGCUAUUGGUUUUUUAAUUAGCUCAUAUUUAGUCCUCCUAAUUAGCAUCUGAACGUGUGAUGUGACAGGGCUAAAGUUUAGCCCCUGACAUCCAAACGCCCCCUUAAUAGAUUCAUCUCGCGAAUUAGCCUCCGUCUGUGUAAUUAGUUUUAUAAUUAGCUCAUGUUUGAUCCUCCUAAUUAGCCUCCGAAUAUUCGAUGUGACAUGAAUUUUAGUUCGGACUAAAGAUCCAAACACCCUCUUAACUUGUAGGUUUAUCUAUGUAAAAAAUAUAAAUCUAUGUAAAAAAUAUUUAUAGAAAACUAAAUACAAACGAAUAAAAAAAGUCAACGGUGUCGUGCGUUAAAAAACGGAGGGAGUACGAUUCUCCCGAGCUUCUCAACUCCGGAUCAGUCAAAGCCAAACGCACACGCACACAAAGGAUAACCCCACAAGGCAGAGCCAGCCACCGUUGACGAGCGCCAUCGCCGGCCCCCGUGCCUAUGGCAAGUGGGCCUGCGCGCGCGCAGUCCGACGGCAGAGCGAGCGGGUCGUUUUCGCCUUGCGCCCCCUCCACCUCUCCAACUAUUGCCGAACUAGGCCCCUGCCUGCCUCUCCCCUCUGUUGGAUUGGAUACUCGGAUCACCCCUCUCCCUGAUAUCCGACUAGUUCGAGGGCUGAUCCGCGAAACGGCUAACCCGCGGCGGGGCUAAUCCCGUAAUCCCCUCUCUUGGACACGUGGCGGACUCUGAUUGGGCAACGGAAGCACCCAACCGCGGGAGCCGUCCGGGUCAAGUCAACUGUCAACUGUUGCGUAACUUCACGGAACAGCCCUCGACAAAUUUCUUAUUACUUUUUUCUUUUCUCUCUGUUUUUUUUUUUCGUUUUUGUUUUCCCGUCGCCGUCUCCUGCUUGCUUCUUCCUACCAGUACCUGUCUCUCUCUCUCUCUCUCUCUCUCCUCCGGUGGUGGGGGCGGGCAGGGAGGCGACGGCGAUGGCUGCGAAGGGCGCGAUGGCGGCGUUGCUCGUCGCGGCGCUCCUGGCAUGCGCUUCUCCCCCUGAAGCGGCGGCUGCGGCGCGGCGCUCCUGGCAUGNNNNNNNNNNNNNNNNNNNNNNNNNNNNNNNNNNNNNNNNNNNNNNNNNNNNNNNNNNNNNNNNNNNNNNNNNNNNNNNNNNNNNNNNNNNNNNNNNNNNAUGCCCCCCCCCCCCCGCGUUUCAACCGCCGUCCUCCUGGUUCGUCGUGCCGUCGCUGCGCCUGCGCGUGCGCGGCCCUCGCGUGGUUCUGGACGGUUUCUUUCCUGGUUGCUUUGGAGGAAAGCUGUUGGUGCGGGCGAUUGGUUGCGGCGGAUUGGAUUAGAUGAAGUAAAGCUCGGGGAUUAGAUGAACAGUUCGUAGUAAUACCGACUGCAGAAGCAGCAGAUUUCUUCCGGAUGUGAGCAUCGCCUGGGGGCACUGUAGAUUGGGGGAAGUAAAUCAGUAAUGAUAAGCUGCUACCUUUAGAGCAAUGCUUGAUGUUCUCAGUACGUCAAAUGUUGACUGUUCGUAGGCGAUGCAGAGCUUAAGCGAAGGUUGUGUGCUACCAGCCUACAACUUGCUUAUUAUCGCCUAGAGGCGGUGGUGCAGCAUAGCGGUUGAGGUGCCGUAGUAAGGGGACUAGUUUCUUGCCUGCAGCAUUGGGGAUGCGAAACUAUGCGAUAUUCUUGAAUCGAGUAGCAGGUUAUGCUUGUGUAUGCUUCUGGAAUUGGAAGCGCCAUUGGAUAUCACAGCUUUUAGUUCCAGUCUCACAUGUGGAUUUCUUCCACUUCUGUAGAGCUAUUUCACCAGUACUAAAGUGCCGGCUGGUUCGGCUUUUCUUUGCCAAUGCAGUACUCAGGAUGAAGCCUUGUGAUGGUGGUUAUCCUUAUAAUCGUACUCUUGCUCAUAUUCUUGUCGAAUAUGCAUCUGCUGUAAGUUCCCCACUUCUUCCCUGGCAAUCUUAUUAAUCCUGUUGACAACUUUGUAAAUUUGCCCAAACCUCCUAUUGUCCUUGCCUAGCUAGACAAUUUCUGUGUUCAAACUUUCUUCCUGGCCCCUUUCUUUUUAAGAAAAACUUUGAAACUCCUUUCAACACCAUGCCAUUCACCGCCUAUUCUAUGCAGCAUAUUCAGUCGCUAAUCUCUAUCAUAUAUCCAAAUGCUUCUUUCUAUAGACUUGGCUUAUGUAAAUGCAUUUCAGGUGUAUACAUCUGACCUAACAUCACUUUUCACAUGGACCUGUCCAAGGUGCAAAGGUCACACAAAGGUAACUCGCUUAUGAAUCGAUAAUGUUUGUUCUAGUUCUGUUUGUACAAGAUGUUCUACAUGUUCCUUGGCAUCUAAUUGUCUGUUUCUUUUUCAUUAUUGAUGCAGGGUUUUGAGGUGAUAGAGGUCAUUGUAGAUGUGGAGAACUGUUUACAGGUUAGUUAUUAUUUUACUGUUUCAGGUCUUCUUAUUCUUGCAGUGUUUGACGAAACCCUAUGUUCAAUUGCUUAUUAAAAAAUUCUGCAGGCAUUUGUUGGAGUUGCCCCUGACCCACGAUCCAUAAUCAUUGCAUUUAGAGGCACUCAACAACACAGGUACAUAAAUUGCUCUGUUAUGCGUAGCAUAUUAGUGACCAAGACUUGUACUGUAUGAAUAUAUGUUCUCAGUCAUCAUCCUUUUAUCCUUGCUAAUUGACUAUAUGUUUCAAUUUCAGCUCAUAAAAUUGUUUUUCUUAUAUAACUUAAUCAUACGCGAAUUACGAGCAUUCAAUUUUUGUAUCUCUUUGACUGGCUGCCUUGGAAUUUUACUUGCAGUGUCUCCAAUUGGAUUGAAGAUCUCUUUUGGAAGCAGCUCGAUGUGACUUAUCCAGGCAUGCCAGAUGCAAUGGUAACACCACUAGUAUAUUUUUUUUUUGUUUGUUUUUACAGUUCUUAUUGAACUAGCUAUAACUCUUGGUUGCUUGCUGUGUAUGUCUCUUGUUGCAGGUCCAUCAUGGAUUUUAUACUGCAUAUUAUAAUACAACUCUGCGACAUGAGAUCUUGAAAUCUAUUCAAUGGGCAAGGAAAACAUAUGGAAAACUACCCAUAAAUGUUGUGGGUCACUCCAUGGGAGGGGCGUUAGCUUCAUUCUGUGCCCUUGAUCUUUCUGUAUGUACUUUUAGGCCAUCUGGGUACUUUUGGUUCCUUUAUGAGCAGCUAUGUACGCAAACCAAUUUCAUCCAACUACACCAUUAAAAACAGCUAAAUUUCUUUUUGUGAAUGAAGUUAUUUCAUAUGUCAUAUACUUCCUUCAAUUGGAAAUAUAAGUGCAUUUGGACAUAAUUACGGUCUCCAAUAGACAUUUUGACUAGCAAUAUCUAUAAAAAUGUACUAUCUCAAAUGGAAAGAGUAAUAUAUCAUGAAAUUAUUUUUUAUAUAUUAUAACGAAUCUAGUAAUGUUUCUCUCAUAUUGUCCAUCUGUAUAAAAAAUUACUCAUUCAUAGUCAGGUAAAAAAUUGACUUAGGACAAACCUAGAUGGGCUUAUAUUUCUGAUCAGAGGAAGUAUGCCCUAUGAACCUAGGAUUGAACCUAUGCUUCUUACCUGAUAUGAUUGCUUGUAUAUUAAUGUAUAUGCAGGUUGCUGACUUCAAUAAGCUAAUAUCUUCUUUUCUUUUACAGGUUAAGUUUGGAUCACAGGAAGUUGAGCUCAUGACUUUUGGACAGCCUCGGAUAGGCAAUCCUGCUUUUGCUGCAUACUUUGGUGCUCAAGUUCCAAGAACAAUCCGCGUGACCCAUCAGAAUGAUAUUGUGCCACAUUUACCACCGUACUAUUAUUACCUAGGUGAAUGGACAUAUCACCACUUUGCUAGAGAGGUAUGCAAAAGAUUUUUGACAAAAAUGCAUCUGUAUGCUGAAUAUGCUGGAGGUUUUUUUUUUUCCCAGACUACUCUUACGCCAUCCAUUUCCUCUGCAUUUGCUUCCCAUCAGGUUUGGCUUCAUGUGAUCAUAGAUGGAAAUGUGGUUACCAGAAAUGAGACAGUCUGUGAUGAUUCCGGUGAGGACCCAACCUGCAGCAGGUAUCUAUCUGCCUAACAUGGCCUUACAAUUUUGGACAUUUAUGUUCUUCUGUGUGCUGCUCAUUGAUUGCUUUUGCUUGAACAGGUCGGUCUAUGGAAUAAGUGUGGCAGAUCAUCUUGAGUACUAUGGCGUCACACUGCAUUCCGAUUCAAGGGGAACUUGUCAAUUUGUGAUGGGUGCAGCCAACUCAGUAUACAGCUACAUUCGUGAAGUUGAUGGAACCAUCAUCUUGUCAAGAUAUGCGCAAGAACCACAUGCCCUAGAAUCCAUGUGACUUUGUAUGCCACGAAACACACCCCUGUACAGUAUUUUAUUUUCAUUUGUGUACAGCUCAUGAAAUACUGGGCCCUCCCGGAGCUCUCCUGAGGAUAAGCAGAGGCUCACCUUUUAAACGUGCCCCUUUUGCUCAAGUGAGAACUGUACAUGUAAGCUCCAUAACAUUGUAUGCACGCUUCGAUGAUGUACAUAAAAAAAAUAUAUGACAGGCUUAAGUAAUGGAAAUGUUUGAUGGUGCCACUUGUUUGGUUUUUUUUUUUCACUUAUUGUGAUACGACCUGAGAUAUAUCCAGAUUCUCUCAGCAUUUCACCUCACCUUUACCGUCGUUUCAGAUACUCUUGCAGAUCAAAGAAUGUAGCCCCUUGGACACCUUAAUUGAUGCAUAAAAAUUAUAACAGGCUUUAUUAAUGGAAUUGUUUGAUGGUAACACUUAUUUCAUAUUUUGCUCACUGUAAUUGUAUCUGAGAUAUUUCUAUAUUUUCUCUCAGCAUUGCUGAACUGAGAAUUGUACAUGUAAUCUUGAUACCAUUGUUUGUGCGCUUUGAUUGAUUGCAUAUACAAAUAUAUAUAUAUAUAUAUAUAUAUAUAUAUAUAUACAUAUAUAUAUGUAUAUAUAUAUAUAUAUAAAAGAGACUUAUGUGAUGGAUUUGAUGGUACCCCUUAUUUGAAAAUAUAUAUAAUAUGAUAUCUUCGUAACAUUGUGCAACAGACUGACAAAAUCAUCACCUAUUGUGAUUCUACUUGAGAUAUUUCCAAAAAAAAAUUCUUUCUUCAUUGCCCCUCACCUUUACUUUCGUUUCAGAUAUGCUUUUGCAGAUCAUAGAAUGUAGCCCCUUGCAUACAUGAGGAGCCAGGAACUGAUCAAGCUCAGGAAGGAAUCUCAAGAUGCAAAGUUCCACACAUGGUCCGCACUGCGAGGACAGAUCUUGAGGAUAAGGAUACAUGUCUAUCCAGAUAUUCUCCAUUGUCGUCUGCUUGUUCCAGAGGUUUGCAUCAUAUACAAGAGAAGAUGUGAAGAUGCAUCGCGGCUUAUCAACGGUGACUGUUCCAUAGCAUCAUUUAAACAGCAUGCUCUUGCUGAUAUGCAAUGCAAGGUUCUGCUGCGUCUUGCUGAUAAGGAUGAUGCGGCUUGUUAAAGGUGGAAGUCUUCAGAGAGAACCAGACAUAGCAAAUUGGGUGUCUGACUGAAGAUUUGUUCACUAAGAAUGGUGUGAAACUGUUCAGAAGCAACGUGAGAAUGCAAAUGGGGCAGAUUCUGGCGCCACGGAUAAGGUCAGAAGAGAGACUGACUGUGGAUGAUGAAAGUCGUCAGAGAUAACAAGACAUUGCAAAAUGGGUGUCUGACUGAAGAUUCAUUCACUAAGAAUGGUGAAACUAUUCAGAAGCAACUUGAGAAUGCAAAUGGGCAGAUUCUGACGCUACGGACAAGGUCAGAAGAGAGAGUGACUGUGUGAGGGGGACUGAAUGAGACCGUAGGCUCUCUGUCUGAAGAUGCCAUUCUGUACCUGAAGAACAGGGGCUUGAUCCCUCCAAUACAAAGUGGUUGUUCUUAGCCGGAGGAAUCAGAUCCUGCUGUCAUACUGUCAUGUGACGAAGCGUCGCCGUGUUGUUGUCGGCACUUUUGAUUUUUCUAUGGACUUCUGUACUUAACACUCGGACUCAAAAGGUCUGAACUCUCAAGUUAGCAGUGAUGCAGGCCAGCAUUCAGACUUUCACAGAACUGAAGAACACUACAACUACUAGGUAAAGGAAAUGACAUACAUUGCAUCAGAAGUUUUCUGUGAUUACAAGGUUCAGAAUUCAGACUCUAUAUCAACAAAGCAGAGAAAAAUUUCACUGUUCUCAUUGUUCUGUUUUUGAGCUUCUCAACCAUGUCUUACUAGUAUGUUAACGUGUGUACUUGAUCAGUAUCGGAAUCUGUAAGUGCAUACAUAUACUCUCAAGAUUGUAUGAUUAUAAAUUGUGACUGAACAAUUUAUUUCUACCCUAAAGAAAAUCCACAAAUAUACGUUUGUGUAUAGUCCUAUCCUCAUUUGAAAAGAUCCAUUUGUUUUUUCAGAUUUUAGCAUUGGAAUUUCGGCAUGAGGUCAACUCGUGUUAUGAGAAAAGAUUCUAGUGCUCCAAGGCCCUCAUGCAUGAACACACACACACGGAUUCUUAUCCAAAACUAGCUAUCCAAUCCUUAACUGGCCUGCACUCUACCAGAAGAAUCAUUUUUCAGUUACACAUGAACCAAAUCUAGCUAUAUAUGUUCCAUAUGCACAUAAAAGAAUAUAAGAUGCUUAGAAAAUGCUAUGAUCUCAUUCGCAAACAAAAUGAAAAUGCUAUGAUAUGGUUGUCAAGAAUCCACUGCAGAUAGGCACACGUACCGACAUCUUUUUCUAGCCUAUAAAAGGAAGCCAUGGCCAGCACCAAGAAACCACACCAGCCAACUUUUGCAGACCAUCUACAACUCUAAAGAGAGACGAGUCUAGAACCUUCCGGGGCACCACACCAUUGAAGUGAUGGACCGCGUGGCGAGGCUGGUGUCGGAGCGGACGGUGGUGGUGUUCACGGUGAGCAACUGCAGCUGGUGCAACGUCGUGACGUCGCUGCUGGACAGCCUGGGCGUGCACGCCGCCGUGCACGAUCUGGACAGGGACCCCCGGGGCCGGGAGAUGGAGCGGGAACUCGCCAGGAGGCUCGGCGGCGGCGCCGGGCGCGGUGGCAGCACACCGACCGUGCCGGCGGUGUUCGUGGGCGGCGACCUCGUCGGCGGGAUUAACAGGGUCCUGGCGCUGCACCUCAGCGACGAGCUCGUGCGCAUGCUCAGGAACGCCGGCGCGAUCUGCCCAUGCUAGAAUAGUGAAGUCAACCGUGACAAUUGCUCGAAAAUAAUGGAGGGAGUAACUAAACCUCUGUAAUUAUUCUUCUCGUUUGAAUUUAGAUAUAACCGCUAAUAGUAUGUUGCUAUGCAAUUAUGCAGUUAAUAUCAAAUUGAAUUGUGUGUAAUGAAUUAAUCUGCUGAAUGCGGAUACGAGAAACAGUCGUUGACCCAACUCCUCAAGAAUCAAGAGGUGAUACGUUGCCCUUGAGAUGGUCGAGGGGAUCAACGUUUGAGCUACUGGUUUGGACAAAUUUUGACUGAAAUUUUAAAAUCUAAAUGAAUUCGUCCCAAAAAUUUCCGGCACUGCCAAAAUUCAAAGGCAAUCUGCACAGUGGAGUCGGCAGCCCGGCAGCACACCACAUAGAGCAUCGAACAGCACAAAUUCCAUCGACUGAAACUAAUUCAAGGCCUUCACGCCUUCAUUACACCAUCAACCGAACACAAGUUCAGUAGACUCUAGUCAGCGCAGCGACCAGUGACAAACUCACAAACAAUGACUGAAACCGUAAAGGCAAAGGCAGAUUGACACCACAAAGGAAUUUCAGCAUUUCCAUUAUGCAAUAGUGCAUUUUCUACUCAUCUAAUCAUCUCUGGAAUCAGAAGAAUCAGAAAUGUGCAUCAAGCUGCCAAUCAUCACGCAUCAGACCUGAGUUUCUUCUUCCUAGGUCACCUCUUCCUUUUUUUUCUUGUGGUCGUGGGUUCGUGACAUCGAUGCUCCAGUGGCUGUGAUGCUCCAGCUCCAUCUUGUCCACUUUCAUGAACUUCCUUUUCUUCUGCAUUUGCAAUUGGUACAGUCCAAAGUAACCAACUCCAGAAGAACAUCAUUUAUUUCCUUCUCUAUGGGAUCUCUGCUCCUGUUCUCAUUCUUUUGCCUUAGUUUGGAGUUAAAUGCACAAAAUGCAAGAUCCCUCAUCCUACCAUGAAGUAAUAGAUGAAAUAAUGGGCUUGGCCCAUUUCAAUUUCAGAAAUUCCAAAUAAAUCUCAAAAGCCCAUGUGGGAAUGAGCAAGUGGUUGAAGUGGUGCAAACCUUUAGUCCCACAUUGCUAGUGGAAGAGAAGGAUGGCCACAUAAAUAUGGAGGUUGUCUUCACUCCUCCAAGCUAUGUGUGUGGGGAGAGAAGGAAAGCUCCACACGCGCACGCUCGCUCGCUGCACCACACGGGGCGAAGGGCGUGGGCGUGUGACACCUGCAUGAAUGGUCGACCGAAAUCCGGCCUCCAACCUUGCGGUGGCGAGCAAACGGGAGAGCAGGUCUCCGAAACCUCUCGCUCUUGUGAUCCUACAUGGGGAGAGGGCAAAUAAGGUUUUUGGAAGCGCUCCGCGCGACUGCUCAAGGUCUUCACCAUGACUUGUCCUCCGUCUAAGUCUGGCGUUGUGGGCGUACCAUCGUCUUCGACGUCGUCUGUUGCGCUCCAUCCGCAACACCGUCAUCGUUCCGUCAGCACCGCUUGUCAUCACGGCUGCACCUGCUAAGUACGUACGUCGUGAUCCAAUCUGUUAUUUCAGCAUAUUUUCUAAGAUCAUGAAGUUGUGCACUUCUCUAAGCAUUGUCCAAAUCAUGCAGACCGCAAGGGCAAAAGGGCCAAUGGGUCUAAGUAUGUCAACAUGGUGACCAUAGGCAACACUGGAGAUGGGUACGGUAAUCUACCUACUGUUCUUUCAGUUUUUCAUUCCACUAGUUGGUGGUUUGAUACUGGUGCCAAUGUUCAUGUGUGUGCUGACAUCUCCAUGUUUUCCUCUUACCAGGUCACCCAGGAUUUCUCUGUGCUAAUGGGAAUGGGUCACAUGCUACUAUUCAUGGUGUUGGUACGGUAGAUCUGAAGUUUACUUCAGAAUUUCUUUGUGCUGAUGGGAAAUGGAUCACAUGCUGUUGUUCAUGGUAUUGGUACGGUAGAUCUAAAGUUACUUCGGGGAAGAUCGUGCAACUGAGGAACGUGCAUCAUGUCCCUACCAUCAACAAGAGUCUUGUGAGCGGGUCGGUCCCGUGUAAGGACGGGUUUAAGGUAGUGUUAGAGUCCAAUAAAUUAGUCAUGUCAAAACAUGGACAGUUCGUUGGUAAAGGCUAUGAGUGCGGAGGCUUGUUCUGCUUUUCCCUUGCAAACUUUUGUAAUAAGUCCGUGAACCAUAUUUGCGGCAACGUUAGUGUGAUGCGAGUACUUGGCAUUCACGUUUGUGCCAUAUUAAUUUUUGUUUAAUGUCUCGGCUUUCCAGCAUGUGUUUAAUUCCGAACCUCACCAUUGGCAAAGGUUCUAAGUGCCAUAGUUGUGUGCAAUCGAAGCAACCUCGGAAGCCUCACAAGGCGGCUGAGGAGAGACACUUGGCACCUCUAGAACUCAUACAUUCUGAUAUGUGUGAGAUGAAUGGUGUGUUGACAAAAGGUGGAAAGAGAUACUUCAUGACAUUGAUUGAUGAUGUGACUAGAUUUUUCUAUGUUUACUUGUUGCAAACUAAGGAUGAAGCAUUAGACUACUUUAAAAUUUAUAAGGCUGAGGUUGAGAAUCAACUUGAGAGAAAGAUCAAGUGUCUAAGGCUUGAUCAUGGUGGUGAGUAUUUUCCAAAAAUCUUUGAUGAAUUCUGUGAGGAACAUGGUAUUAUUCAUGAGAGGACGCCUCCCUAUUCGCUUGAGUCCAACAGGGUUGCUGAGAGGAAAAACCACACACUGACUGACUUAGUUAAUUCCAUGUUAGAUACUGCCAGUUUAUCUAAGGUAUGGUAGGGAGACUCUAUUGACUUCAUGUCAUGUCCCGAAUAGAGUUCCGAACAAAGAAUAAAGAUCAAACUUCAUAUAAGAUGUGGAUCGGGAGAAAACCGUCACUUUCUUAUUUGCGUACUUGGGCUGCUUGGCGAAAGUCAAUGUACCCAUUCCGAAGAAGCGCAAGUUAGGACCUAAGACAAUAGAUUGUGUCUUUCUAGGAUAUGCUCAAAGGAGCAUUGCUUAUAGAUUUUUAGUGGUUAAAUCUGAGGUCCCUGAUAUGCAUGUUGAUACUAUUAUGGAAUCUCAUGAUGCAACAUUUUUUCAGAAUAUAUUUCCUCUUAAAGAUAUGCAUAGCAACUCUAGAUUUUCUGCUGAAAUAACUUCUGAACCUACUGCACCUGUUGAGUCUUCUGAACAACCCGAUGAGCAUUAGCAUGAGGACGUCAUAGAGAAGGAUGACAGUGAAGCUCCUAGAAGAAGCAAGAGAUAGAGGGUUGAAAAAUCCUUUGGUGAUGAUUUCACUAUGUACCUUGUGGACAAUACUCCUACGUCCAUCAUUGAGACAUAUGCAUCUUCAGAUGCAGACGAUUGGAAAGAAGUUGUCCAAAGUGAGAUGGAUUCGAUUCUUUCUAAUGGGACAUGGGAGCUCACUGAACGACUCUACGGUUGCAAACCAGUGGGUUGUAAAUGGGUGUUCAAGAAGAAGUUUAGGCCUGAUGGUACUAUUGAAAAGUACAAGGCUAGACUUGUGGCCAAAGGUUACACACAAAAAGAAGGUGAAGACUUCUUCGAUACCUAUUCACCUGAUCGCUAGACUGACCUCUAUUCAAGCACUACUUUCUCUGGCUGCCUCGUAUAGUCUUAUCGUCCACCAGAUGGAUGUAAAGACAGCUUUUCUAAAUGGAGAGUUGGAUGAGGAGAUCUAUAUAGAUCAGCCUGAUGGGUUUGUGGUAAACGGUCAAGGGAGCAAGGUGUGUAAGUUGUUGAAGUCUUUGUAUGGCCUGAAAGAAGCACCUAAGUAAUGGUAUGAUAAUUUUGACAGAACUUUAACUUCUGCGGGCUUUGUCAUUAAUGAGAUUGAUAGAUGUGUGUACCAUCGCCAUGGUGGGGGUGAAGGGUUAUAUUAUGCUUGUAUGUGGAUGACAUACUGAUCUUUGGCACAAACAUUGAUGUGAUUAAUGAGGUCAAGCUGGGAGAAGCUGAUGUUAUUCUGAACAUCAAGCUGAUUAAGUAUGAGAAUAGGAUUACUCUUUUGCAAUCCCAUUAUGUGGAGAAGAUCUUGAACCAUUUUGUUUAUAUAGAUAGCAAGCCUUCUCCAACACCUUAUGAUCCCAGCGUGAUACUCAGAAAGAACAAGAAAACUGCUAAAGACCAACUGAGAUAUUCUCAGAUUGUCGGAUCACUCAUUUACUUAGGUAGUGCAACGAGACCCGACAUAGCUUUUGCUGUGAACAAAUUGAGUAGGUUCAUGUCAAUCCCGGGGUUUGAUCAUUGGCAUGCACUUGAAAGGGUUAUGCGCUACUUGGUGGGUACUAUGAGUUAUGAGAUUCACUAUUCCGGGCACCCUGCUGUGCUUGAGGGAUAUAGUGAUUCGAACUAGAUUUUGGAUGCUGAUGACCUAUAUGGCACGAGUGGGCAUGUGUUUACCCUUGGAGGUGGUGCAAUAUCAUGGAGGUCUUGCAAACAGACCAUUCUGACGAGGUCAACCAUGGAAACAAAACUUACUGCUUUGGAAACAGCCACUGUUGAGGCAGAAUAGCUGCGUGAUCUCUUGAUGGACUUGCCUAUAGUUGAUAAACCAAUACCAGCAAUCCUUAUGAACUGUGACAAUCAAACGGUGAUAGUUAAAGUGAACAGUGCUAAGGAUAACGCAAAAUCAUCAAGAUAUGUCAAGAGACGACUGAAGUCUGGCAGAAAGUUGAGAAACUCCGGAGUAAUAAGUGUGACUUAUAUUCAAACAGAUAAAAAUCUGGCAUAUCUCUUUACAAAAGGGCUAUCACGGAAUGUGAUAGAAUGUACAUGAAGGGAGAUGGAUAUGAGACCCGUUUAAGUUGCCGUAGUGGUAGCCCAACCUAUGUGAUUGGAGAUCACGCGAAUUAGGAUAUGGGAAAAACAAGCUGUCGGUUGACUGAGGAGAGUAAAUUAUUAAACUCUCUCUAUAUAAAAAUACAAUACUCUCAAAUGCUGCAAGGAAGGUUAGCAAUGUGCUUUAAUGUGCUUCUAUUGACUUGAUUAAGCGAAGAUGCUGUCCUACAUAGCAUUCUUGAAAGAACACACAUAUAUGAGCCCGACUGUACAACAUCGCAGUCUAUGAGACUUGGGUGAUCUCUAGUAAUCUCAUGAAGAGACCAAGAAGUAUGACGAAUAUGCUUCACCUGUGGGGUAGGCUACUGGCAGCGAGGUACUAGUUCCAACUCUAAGUGAAACUUGUCCGCACAAAACUUGCAAUUCAAGGCUUAGUCCAUUGUCAAGUUAUGGAUGAAUGUAGCUUGAAGCUCUAGGCGAGAGUUCAACUUAACAGUCCUUGCUGAAACACUAGUAUAUAAACAGCAAGGAGAAACAGGCAAAAUCUCUGAUAGACUUUUGAGAUCUUUUGGGGGAUUGAUGAAAUAAUGGGCUUGUCCCAUUUCAAUUUAAGAAAUUCCAAAUAAAUCUCAAAGGCCCAUGUGGGAAUGAGCAAGUGGUCGGAGUGCUGCAAACCUUUUGUCCCACAUUGCUAGUGGAGGAGAAGGAUGGCCAACAUAAAUAUAAAGGUUGUCUCCACUCCUCCAAGCUAUGUGUGUGGGGAGAAAAGGAAAGCUCCACAUGCACGCGCUCGCUCUCCAUGCCACGCCUCGUCGGGCAGGGUGAAGGGCGCGGGCAUGCGACACCUGCGUGAAUGGUCCACCGAAAUCCGACGUCCAACCUUGCGGUGGCGUGGUUUCCUUGUGCCGUUUUAUUUUUUGUUAGUUGGUCUUUAAGUCAAUGAGAUAUAUGGAAGCCUAAUCGGUUUAGAUCACGAUCGCGACGUGAGAUCGUGGGUUCUCCUCUAUAUACGACCUAUCGUCCUCUACCGAAAAGACAUCUAAUCGAGCUAGGGUUUUGCCUCUUCUCGCUGCUGUGGCGCCACCAUAGUCUACUCCAUCUCGAGCACCGGCGUGCACCAACGAACAAGAGAGUAGGUCUCCGGAACAUCUCGCUCUUGUGAUCCUGCACCGGGAGAGGGCGAAUAACGGUUUUGGAAAACGCUCCGCGCGACUGCUCAAGGUCUUCACCAUGGCUCAUCCUCCGUCCAAAUCAGGCUUUGCGGCGUACAUCGUCUUCAACGUCGUCUGCUGCGCUCCGUCUGCAACAGCGUCGUCAUUUCGUCAGCACCGCUUGUCAUCAGAGCUCACCCGCUAAGUACGUACGCCGUGAUCCAAUCUGUUAUUUCAGCAUGUUUUCUGAGAUCAUGAAGUUGUGCUUGUUGUUGCCUUGUAUGUUAGAGAAUCGCAUGCUAGGUUUUAUUCUUAUUAUGAUAAAUCUAGUUCGGAAAUUAAUCAUGCAGCAGUAGUUUGUUGGCAUUCUUUGUGGUGAACCGCGCCAUGCCAAACGCCUGCAUGUGACAUAGAGGUCGUAUUGAAGAUGUUGUCAGGAACAAAUGGUGAAAACCUUCAGCGAGACAAGAUAUAUAGCAAACUGGGAAGAUUUAUCUAGUACGGUCGAAUUGUAUGAUGAUUUGAUCAGCAAGAAUGGUGAAACUAUACAAGGACAAGAGAGUCCACUACGGAAAAAGGAAGUGUGACUGAGGGAGGGGCCGAAUGCGAGUGCAACCUAUCUGUAUGAAUAUUCAAUUCUGGACCUGAAGAUUGAUAUAAAGUGGCUGCUCUUAGCCGAAGGGAUCAGAUCCUUCUGUCAUACUGUCAUGUGACGAAGCAUCGCCGCGUUGUUGUCGGCACAUUUGCUUUUCCUAUGGACUUCUGUAUUAAUUUAAACUCGAGCUCAAAGACCGACCUGAGCUCUAAAGUUAAGCAGUGACGCAGGAAAAACUCACUUUUUCACACAGCUGAAGGAAAUAGCAUGUGUAUUGCACUCAGACUGCUAACAACAGCAGAACAAAGGUUCACUGUGCUCUCGCUGCUUUUCAGCUUGUCAACAAUAUAUUACAAACAGUAUGCUAACAUCUGCACUUGGUCUGUAUUUGAAUCUUGAAGUGCAGGUAUGUGUUAUUAAUAAGUCUUCUUUUCAAGAUUGUUAUAAAACAGUGGCUGAACAAAAUCUUUUUUCUCUCUUGAGAUAUUUCCAGAUUUUUUUUUCUCUCUUCAUUGCCCCUCACCUUUACUUUCGUCUCAGAUAUGCUUUUGCAGAUCAUAGAAUGUAGCCCCUUGCAUACAUGAGGAGCCAGGAACUGAUCAAGCUCAGGAAGGAAUCUCAAGAUGCAAAGUUCCACACAUGGUCCGCACUGCGAGGACAGAUCUUGAGGAUAAGGGUACAUGUCUAUCCAGAUAUUCUCCAUUGUCGUCUGCUUGUUCCAGAGGUUUGCAUCAUAUACAAGAGAAGAUGUGAAGAUGCAUCGCGGCUUAUCAACGGUGACUGUUCCAUAGCAUCAUUUAAACAGCAUGCUCUUGCUGAUAUGCAAUGCAAGGUUCUGCUGCGUCUUGCUGAUAAGGAUGAUGCGGCUUGUUAAAGGUGGAAGUCUUCAGAGAGAACCAGACAUAGCAAAUUGGGUGUCUGACUGAAGAUUUGUUCACUAAGAAUGGUGUGAAACUGUUCAGAAGCAACGUGAGAAUGCAAAUGGGGCAGAUUCUGGCGCCACGGAUAAGGUCAGAAGAGAGACUGACUGUGGAUGAUGAAAGUCGUCAGAGAUAACAAGACAUUGCAAAAUGGGUGUCUGACUGAAGAUUCAUUCACUAAGAAUGGUGAAACUAUUCAGAAGCAACUUGAGAAUGCAAAUGGGCAGAUUCUGACGCUACGGACAAGGUCAGAAGAGAGAGUGACUGUGUGAGGGGGACUGAUGAGACCGUAGGCUCUCUGUCUGAAGAUGCCAUUCUGUACCUGAAGAACAGGGGCUUGAUACCUCCAAUACAAAGUGGUUGUUCUUAGCCGGAGGAAUCAGAUCCUGCUGUCAUACUGUCAUGUGACGAAGCGUCGCCGUGUUGUUGUCGGCACUUUUGAUUUUUCUAUGGACUUCUGUACUUAACACUCGGACUCAAAAGGUCUGAACUCUCAAGUUAGCAGUGAUGCAGGCCAGCAUUCAGAUUUUCACAGAACUGAAGAACACUACAACUACUAGGUAAUGGAAAUGACAUACAUUGCAUCAGAGGUUUUCAGUGAUUACAAGGUUCAGAAUUCAGACCCUAUAUCAACAAAGCAGAGAAAAAUUUCACUGUUCUCAUUGUUCUAUUUUUGAGCUAUUCAACCAUGUCUUACUAGUAUGUUAACGUGUGUACUUGAUCAGUAUCGGAAUCUGUAAGUGCAUACAUAUACUCUCAAGAUUGUAUGAUUAUAAAUUGUGACUGAACAAUUUAUUUCUACCCUAAAGAAAAUCCACAAAUAUACGUUUGUGUAUAGUCCUAUCCUCAUUUGAAAAGAUCCAUUUGUUUUUUCAGAUUUUAGCAUUGGAAUUUCGGCAUGAGGUCAACUCGUGUUAUGAGGAAAGAUUCUAGUGCUCCAAGGCCCUCAUGCAUGAACACACACACGGAUUCUUAUCCAAAACUAGCUAUCCAAUCUUUAACUUGCCUGCACUCUACCAGAAGAAUCAUUUUUCAGUUACACAUGAACCAAAUCUAGCUAUAUAUGUUCCAUAUGCACAUAAAAGAAUAUAACAUGCUUAGAAAAUGCUAUGAUCUCAUUAGCAAAAAAAAAUGAAAAUGCUAUGAUAUGGUUGUUAAGAAUCUUACAAUAAUCCACUGCAGAUAGGCACACAUACUGACAUCUUUUUCUAGCCUAUAAAAGGAAGCCAUGGCCAGCACCAAGAAACCAGACCAGUCAACUUUUGCAGACCAUCUACAACUCUAAAGAGGGACGAGUCUAGAACCUUCCGGGGCACCAGACCAUUGAAGUGAUGGACCGCGUUGCGAGGCUGGUGUCGGAGCGGGCGGUGGUGGUGUUCACGGCGAGCAACUGCAGCAUGUGCGACGUCGUGACGUCGCUGCUGGGCAGCCUGGGCGUGAACGCUGCCGUGCACGAUCUGGACAGGGACCCCCGGGGCCGGGAGAUGGAGCGGGAGCUCGCCAGGAG